rnacentral:rRNA from 1 species
GAUGAACGCUGGCGGCGUGCUUAACACAUGCAAGUCGAACGGGAUCCAAGGGGUGCUUGCACUUUUUGGUGAGAGUGGCGAACGGGUGAGUAACACGUGAGUAACCUGUCCUUUUCUUUGGGAUAAGCAUUCGAAAGGGUGUUUAAUACCUUAUGUUCUGUCUGCCUCGCAUGGGGUGGGUGGGAAAGGCUUUGGCCGGAUUUGGGUGGGCUCGCGGUCUAUCAGCUUGUUGGUGGGGUGAUGGCUUACCAAGGCUUUGACGGGUAGCCGGCCUGAGAGGGUGGUCGGUCACAUUGGGACUGAGAUACGGCCCAGACUCCUGCGGGAGGCAGCAGUGGGGGAUAUUGCACAAUGGGCGAAAGCCUGAUGCAGCGACGCCGCGUGGGGGAUGAAGGCCUGCGGGUUGUAAACUUCUUUUGCUCUGAACAAGGCAUGCCAGUGGGUGUGUUGAGUGGAGGGGUUGAUUAGCGCCGGCUAACUACGUG